AGCGAGUGAAGCCUUCAAUUUAGCGGCUUCCCCCCUUUUCCCUCAGCCUACUCUUUCAUUUUCGCUUAAGCUCCCCCGGUUUGGGGGAUUAAUUGAUUGGAUACCCGAGAACCAUAAUCUUUCCUAGGAACAGCUUCUACGACGAUGGAUAGGGGUCAGGUUUGUUUGGCAUCUAUGCCCACUGCCCUCCAAACAGUAUGGGAGCCUUUCAGCUCGUACUGCUCACACUCCUAGAUCUUCACGGCACCCCCUCCACCAUAGUGUGAGCCGGGAGCUGCUCCAAACCAAAAAGGCCUACUUCAAAAUUCGCUUUCAACACCACAAAAAAAGUAAACUAUGGUUGCCUACUGAUCUGAUCAUAGGUGAAAUCCCUUCGCUUCGCGCCAGGCUUGGAAACCGUAAGUCAGGCUCCUCUCCUUUCGUCUCUCGGAAGUGAGAAAGCGAGCAGCAAGCUGAAAAAGCCCUUUCCCCUUUUCAUAAUAAGGUCAGCUUCAUAGCUCCAACCUAUACAAGGGACAAGCCAAAACCAGCUGAAGGAAGGGUGGUCGUAGAUCAGACUUCUGAUUAUUAGAGAAAGGGGAGCUUAUUUUUAGAAAAAAAAAAGACUAAAAAACUAGGUUUGGAACCCUACUCCCCAACAACUACAAGGAUGCUUGCUUGCUGGCAUCAAAGCCCUUCAUUAUUAUUAUUAUAUUAAUAUUAAUGGGGGGGAGGGCGCACAACACAACCCGUUCUCUGCUCUUUUCCUGAGCCUUUCACACUAAGCUCUUCGAUCCUGCCCUGCGCCUCUCUAGGCAUGAGCGAUGGCUCAUGACUGGUAUAUGGAUCUCUUUAUCUUUAUAUAGAGUGGUCGGCCUUCUAGAAGCUUCGCCGGAAGCGACUAGUCGCUUCCCGAAUGCCUCUUUACUUUAGUAUGUAUGUAUGUAUGGUCUAGUCUUUCCAAUGCCUCCUUCCUUGCCGCCAACGUACGCUACUAGGAGAGUAAGCAAGCUACCUUGCUUGUAUUUUAUUCUAUAAGCGGAGCGAUUUGUCGAGUCUAGGAAGCUUCGUAGUUGCCCCCCCUUUGCUUUGCCUCGCCAUGCCACUAGAUCCAUAAUGACCGGCGAGUCGGAAUAUGUACGAAUAUAACCACGCGGAGCGCCGGACCGGUCUAGCGAAGAAAGAGAUCAUUGAGCCUAUUUAGCCGAGCUAAGGUUUGGAACCCUAGUUUAUUAGUAUUUUAGAAUAAUAAGAUUUUAAUAGGCUAAGGGGGCUGGGAAUCGCAAGAAUUGAGAAGUCCUCUAUUGAAUGGGGUGGGUUCGGAAAUGGCCGGAUUAGCAGGAGGAAGGGCGGCCCCACUCUGAAACAAGGGUGUACGUACAUAAAGAAAGAGGCUGGUUAUGGCCUUUACUUGAUAGGGCUCCUUCCUAUCUAUCUUGACCGGGAAGAGGGGGGAGGCCCUUUCGGAAGCCCUGCCCGCCCUUCUCUGUUUAGAGGGAUUUAGGAUUCAAAGCUUCCCGGACUCUUAACAGACGGCUAAGAGCAAGAAGAGGAUCAGUAGUCUCUGCCGUUGCAGGUCCUUCUCCUUCCGCCGAGACGGCCCUCUUUUUUUGUUUUGUUUGUUCACCGUGGCACGAAAUCAUGAAGAAGCUGGAAUAACUCAGAAAGAGAAGAGAGUGGCGCCUAGCCGUUGAAAGCCUUUGUUUUGUCUUUGUAGAGGAACAGUACGAUCUUGGGCUGGCCCCCUUCGCACGGCCUAGAAAGAAAAAGAAGUCCGUGCUACUAUAAGGCUUCUAAACUCCUCCCUCAGGACACGGUUGCCUUGCCCAUGGGGACGGGGUAGCCCCGACUUCCAUAGGUCCUUGGUUCGACCUCUUAAUGAGAAUUGAGGUCCUUGCGCGGGCGUCUCAUCCCUAAGACUUGCUUGCUCUGUAUGGAGUGCCCCGUGGUUCCUCGAGUGCCAGCCGCAGAGAGGAAUGCCAUCAACUAGGGCGCUAUUGGCCACUAACCACUCGCUCGCCGGCCGUUCGGGCUCCGCGUUUCAAGUUCGUUAUCCUAACCGUCUCCUCUGCUCCACCGGGAGCCUGGCCCCUUCUUCUAUCUUAUCUACUGCCUUGCUCCUCGGCUCCCUACAGCUCCAGCCGCUCGCUGUAAUAGCUUGCUUCUCGGGUGGCUCGCACCCCGGGUGGUGCGGCUGAGCCAGAGUGGGCUCAGCAGUCGGCCUAUGUUUCCGGGCGCACGCAUAAAGGCAUGAUUAGUUCCACAAAUCUCACUGCACUGACCAUAGUAAACUCCUUCUCGUUGUACCGAAAUAGAGAUCUGAUUUAAACGACCAGGUACAGCAUCACAUUUGACACCUAAGGAAGGUACAGCCCAACUAUGAAGUACAUCAGCAGAUGUUACAAUAAUACGUAGAUGAGUUUUGGCUGGUACAACCACUCUAUUGUCC
rnacentral:lncRNA from 1 species